ensembl:misc_RNA Metazoa_SRP Metazoan signal recognition particle RNA
GCCAGGCGCGGUGGCUCACGCCUGUAAUCCCAGCACUUUGGGAGGCUGAGGUGGGCGGAUCACCUGAGGUCAGGAGUUCUAGAUCAGCCUGGCCAACAUGGUGAAAUCCCGUCUCUA